AUUGAACGCUGGCGGCAGGCUUAACACAUGCAAGUCGAGCGGGGGAAGGUAGCUUGCUACCGGACCUAGCGGCGGACGGGUGAGUAAUGCUUAGGAAUCUGCCUAUUAGUGGGGGACAACAUCUCGAAAGGGAUGCUAAUACCGCAUACGUCCUACGGGAGAAAGCAGGGGAUCUUCGGACCUCGCGCUAAUAGAUGAGCCUAAGUCGGAUUAACUAGUUGGUGGGGUAAAGGCCUACCAAGGCGACGAUCUGUAGCGGGUCUGAGAGGAUGAUCCGCCACACUGGGACUGAGACACGGCCCAGACUCCUACGGGAGGCAGCAGUGGGGAAUAUUGGACAAUGGGGGGAACCCUGAUCCAGCCAUGCCGCGUGUGUGAAGAAGGCCUUAUGGUUGUAAAGCACUUUAAGCGAGGAGGAGGCUACUUUAGUUAAUACCUAGAGAUAGUGGACGUUACUCGCAGAAUAAGCACCGGCUAACUCUGUGCCAGCAGCCGCCGUAA
rnacentral:rRNA from 1 species